UCGAGUGACGCCAUAUGCCCUAUCCCUAACCCGCUCUCGUCUCCCUCGGACGCAGCCGGCCGCCGAAUCGAAUCCCGCCCGUGGGCUCAUCUGCCUCGCCAUGGCCGAUGAACGCCUCGGAUGCGGCCGCGUCCCUCUCCCAACGGCGGCGUUGAUGGAGGGAGCAGCUGGCGCUGGUCAAGCUGCCGAUCGAUGGACGCGCCGGGCGUCACUCCUCGGGUACAGCCCCUCCCGCUCCCUGCAUCUCUCCCUGUCUCCUCCACGAGCUGCACGGAAGUACGUACAUGCAUCCUUGUGAGGAAGAUUGAUCGGGAUGGAGAAAUCAGGCGACGCGGAACCACACCAAGCUCCAAUACUAUCGCCUCGUGUGUUGCCUGCUCCACCUCCUUACGGAUAUGCUGCUUCUUAUCAUGUCCCAGCCGCUGGUGCUACCAAUCCAAGUGUUCAUUCAUUCUGGUCUAUUUCUUUGGAUAAUUUAUGGAGGCCGUGGUUCUGGUAUUUGUAUGUAUUCACAAAUUGUUCACAAGGCCUGGUUAGUAUCUUGGACGGCAAAAGCACAUCUCUUAGUUCUUUAAUAUGCAAUUACUUAGAUUUUAUUGUCCUAAAUGUAUGUAUCCUUAAUGCCAUGGUUUGUUACUUAUGGUUGUUGUCAAAGGAGGAAAUAAUAGGGAGGAUUGGAGAUGCACCGGGCAUGCCAUGGCAACGAAACAAAAGCUUAUUACUUCAAUUCAAUUAUGCAAGUUGAAGAAGGUACAAACUAUUAACUCCGAUCUUCUAAUGCUUCCUUUCUUUUUUUAAUGUGGUUUGGCUCGACAAACAAUAUUUUCUUUGUGGCAUACUGCACUAGCUCUAAUUUGAGUACUUCAAUUCAACUUAAAGUAACUUAUUUUCUAACACUUAAUAAUGAGCUCACAGAUGAUAGAAGCAGAAAAAAAAUACUUGGCCAAAUAUCAUUUAACCAGAUAUUGUACAUUGUAGAAUCAGUAGUCUAUCUCACUUCAUUCUUGUUAGAACCUGCAUAAGAUUUUGUAUGUGAUGCUUUUGUUUAUUCAAUCAAGUGAAAUAAGGGCUACAACAAGAGAUCACCAUUAGGUUAUCAUGAACCAGCAAAAUGGGUAUAAGAAGCUAUAUUCAAGAAAAGAUAUUUUGCUCAUUCUUUACCCAGAGCAAAUAUAAAGUCGCAUACGAACAUCUGAAACUAAGAACUCAACAAAUAGAUCAGUAUAUUCCAUGUUAAGUAUACAACUCACAAAUAGACAUUUCCAGUGAGAAAAUAUUAACUAUUUCUAAAAUGUCGUGACAAGUUGUUUUUUUUGUAGAAUUUUAUGCUCUUGCUGUUAUCUUAGCCUCACAGGAUUGUAUAUUUUGAUGGAAUAUAGUAAGAUUUUCUUAUAAUCACGAGUUCUUUUAUAAUUGGAUGAGAAGAUACCAUCUAGCGCAUCAAUUAAGAAUUACCCAUAUUAAUACCUCGAACAGGGAUGCAUGUAUUUGAUCUUUCCUGCUGAGAUUCAGUGUUUCCUAUCGGAGGUCUGAAUUUGCAUAUGUGGGGCCUCUCAGUUAGAUUGUAAGUAUACUAACCAUUCUGUAACUGAGGUUGUGCCAUAUAUCUAGAACUGUAGAAUAUCUUCCACAUAUGUUCAUUCAGGGACCUUAGAAAUUCACUAUUGAGGGUUCAUUGCCAAGAAGGCAACUCAUCUCUUCGGCAUUGAAUUUAUUUGGAGUGUUGCAAUUAUCGCAAUGCUCAGUGACAACUACCAGGGUCAUGAAGAAGGUAAGUCAUCUCCCAUGCAUCAAAUUUAAUUGGAAUUGUGCAGCUUCAGAUUUGCAGUAAUUAUGAUUAAGCACUCUAUCUAUAUAGUUCAAAACUUAGCUAUGUAUAUCGCAAGGGUAACCAAUUAAGUUGGUAAACUUUCAUGUAUUUUGCAGUCCUAGCUCAACAAUGGCUCCGUGAGCUCUAACAGGUGUGGUGGGCUGCCAACGACCUACACAUAGUAUUGCUUAAAUCGGCUGCAAUCACUAGAUUCUCGUCACUAACUCUGUGAACUGGUAGAAAGUGGUCACGUUGGGAAAGGAGUAAACGGAAUGCUACUAAAAUAGUGGGCCUUUGGGCAACACCUAAAGCGUUGCAAUAAGCUUCUGAUAAGAAUUUCGUACAAGAAUAGGUGCUUGUAAAUAUGUUGAAUUGUUCAUGGUGGAGUUGUUGUACAGUCUCCCAACAGCAAUGAUUUACAAGGCUCAAGGGACUAUAUAAAGGCCAAACACUUGGAAUUCAAACAAGCUAGGUUCAAAAUGGUAACUUUGAGUUAUUA